rnacentral:rRNA from 1 species
GACGAACGCUGGCGGCGUGCUUAACACAUGCAAGUCGAACGGAAAGGCCCGGAGCUUGUUCCUCUGUCGUUUGCCGCGGGCGGGAGAGUAACGUGAGGAUCCCCCACCUAUAUGACUGGGAUAUCUUCGGGAAACGGGCGCUUAUCCCGUAUAAUAUCUUGAUGCGUAUGGUUCAAUAGUGAAAGACGGUUUUGCUGUAACUUCUAGCUGGAUCCGGGCUGCAUUAGCUGGUUGGUAGGUUAACGGCUUAUCAAGGCAAGCAUGCGUAGGCGACCGGCCAGGGUGAUCGGCGACACGGGAACUGAGACGCGGUCCAGGCUCCUACGGGAGGCAGCAGUAGCGAAGCGGCGGCAAUGGGCGAAAGCCUGACGGAGCGGCGCCACGUGGGUGAUGAAGGUCUUCGGAUCGUAAAACUGUGUUAUGGGUGAAAAACAAAUGUGGAAGGAACUAUGCACUUCGUGACGGUACCUGAUCAGGAAGCAACGGCUAACUACGUG